GUAGGGGCCUAGCGUUGUCCGGAUUUAUUGGGCGUAAAGAGCUCGUAGGCGGUUUGGUGAGUCGGGUGUGAAAUCUCCACGCUCAACGUGGAGGGGCCAUCCGAUACUGCCAUGACUAGAGUCCGGUAGGGGAGUGUGGAAUUCCCGGUGUAGCGGUGAAAUGCGCAGAUAUCGGGAGGAACACCAGUAGCGAAGGCGACACUCUGGGCCGGUACUGACGCUGAGGAGCGAAAGCGUGGGGAGCAAACAGGAUUAGAUACCCUGGUAGUCCACGCUGUAAACGUUGGGCACUAGGUGUGGGACUCUAUCGACGGGUUCCGUGCCGUAGCUAACGCAUUAAGUGCCCCGCCUGGGGAGUACGGCCGCAAGGCUA
rnacentral:rRNA from 1 species